AGAGUUUGAUCCUGGCUCAGGAUGAACGCUGGCGGCGUGCCUAAUACAUGCAAGUCGAGCGAACGGACGAGAAGCUUGCUUCUCUGAUGUUAGCGGCGGACGGGUGAGUAACACGUGGAUAACCUACCUAUAAGACUGGGAUAACUUCGGGAAACCGGAGCUAAUACCGGAUAAUAUUUUGAACUGCAUGGUUCAAAAGUGAAAGACGGUCUUGCUGUCACUUAUAGAUGGAUCCGCGCUGCAUUAGCUAGUUGGUAAGGUAACGGCUUACCAAGGCAACGAUGCAUAGCCGACCUGAGAGGGUGAUCGGCCACACUGGAACUGAGACACGGUCCAGACUCCUACGGGAGGCAGCAGUAGGGAAUCUUCCGCAAUGGGCGAAAGCCUGACGGAGCAACGCCGCGUGAGUGAUGAAGGUCUUCGGAUCGUAAAACUCUGUUAUUAGGGAAGAACAUAUGUGUAAGUAACUGUGCACAUCUUGACGGUACCUAAUCAGAAAGCCACGGCUAACUACGUGCCAGCAGCCGCGGUAAUACGUAGGUGGCAAGCGUUAUCCGGAAUUAUUGGGCGUAAAGCGCGCGUAGGCGGUUUUUUAAGUCUGAUGUGAAAGCCCACGGCUCAACCGUGGAGGGUCAUUGGAAACUGGAAAACUUGAGUGCAGAAGAGGAAAGUGGAAUUCCAUGUGUAGCGGUGAAAUGCGCAGAGAUAUGGAGGAACACCAGUGGCGAAGGCGACUUUCUGGUCUGUAACUGACGCUGAUGUGCGAAAGCGUGGGGAUCAAACAGGAUUAGAUACCCUGGUAGUCCACGCCGUAAACGAUGAGUGCUAAGUGUUAGGGGGUUUCCGCCCCUUAGUGCUGCAGCUAACGCAUUAAGCACUCCGCCUGGGGAGUACGACCGCAAGGUUGAAACUCAAAGGAAUUGACGGGGACCCGCACAAGCGGUGGAGCAUGUGGUUUAAUUCGAAGCAACGCGAAGAACCUUACCAAAUCUUGACAUCCUUUGACAACUCUAGAGAUAGAGC
rnacentral:rRNA from 5 species